AAUUGGCACCAUUUGAAUGCUCAUAAGGCGUUUUUUCUUAACAACAGAAGCAAUUGUCAUCUUGCACCUCGGUGUACGUGUGUGAGUGUGUCUGGAAAGCGAAGUACUGCGCAAUAAGGAGACAAAGUUAAGCCUCCAACCUGUCAGUCAUCACGACCACUAUACCCUUAUUUUUUUCUGCUAUAUAUAAGAAGGCUUCUAAAGCUGAGUACCUAGCACUUUUAGUCGUCUGGUUAGGAUUGAGCGUUCAACCAGGAUGGAGGCCUUGCACUUCAAUUGCGUUGCUUUUGUUGUUCCUCUGUCACACUGGAGAAGCGGAGGAGAUGAAGGGUCGGCUGGUCAAAAGAAAAGGCGCUAUCCGUGCACCGAGCCAGGUUGCAAAUCAUCUUUCAAGUAUUACUAUGCACUCACGCGGCACUUAAGACACCACAAAAUGGCCAAGGAAGGACAGUUACUCUGCCGGGUUCCCAAUUGCGGCAAAUCCUUCUAUUCCCCGGGAUCCCUGCUGCGUCAUCUGGAGGAGAUACACCCAGCUCCGGGUGAGGAACCAAGCGGAAGGCCCCGCAAAGGCAGAGGCAAAGAUAAAAGUAAAGGCAGCAGCAGUCAAGCAGGGAAUGACGGAAGUGAAGAUGGAGGAACUUACGAGUGCAAGGAGCCCGGAUGCAACAAGUCUUACGACUCCAAGCCGAAGCUACAGAGGCACAUGCGAGAUCACAACUUGAAAAAACGAGGAGAAUUUACAUGCUCUCAAUGCGGUCAAGGUUACUCCUCCAAACAAAGCUUGCAGUAUCAUCAAGAAGCGAAGGGGCAUGUCCAGGCGCCAAAACCGCCAAAACCAUAUCCUUGCACUCACGAGGGAUGCACCAAAAGCUAUGGAAGCGCCUCCGCGCUUAGAGUACACAUGAAAUGUCACGAGGGAUAAGCGACUUGUCCUUAUUCUACCGUGUUAAGGAAAAACGCCGUAUGAAUCUUCAGGCGUUGCCAAAUUUCCUUUCAUUAAACGCGAAUUUUCUGAUAUACUUAUAAAUAUUUUCCUCCCAAUUUUUCAGAUAGUUUCGUCCGCACUCUCAUCUAAAGAUUCUGAAAAUUUAGAGGAAAAAUAUUCAUAACUUUCCUCAAAGAUAAACUUUUUAUCGAAGGAAAUUUGGCAACUCUCGAAUGUUGGUACGACGUUUUUCCUUAGCACGGCAGUAUUGCUCUCAGACUUUCUCAAGACCUUCAAUCAUGCGCGCACACGUUGCAGAAGAACACCCUGGCAAGCCUUCCCAUCGGAUCGACAACAAUGAUGAAAUCACCGUCCAACAGUAUACUUUCUUGAAGGACCUAGUCUGCCGUGAUAGAGAAGGAAGCCGUGAGUGCAAAAAUGAGGUUUUGAGGAAAUGGGUUCAGUGACUUCGGAGCGGAAAUUUAAUCGAAAGAAACUUCCGUUCUUUGUUAAAUUGCCACCAAUUAUCCGAAAGACUGAGAAAUUGUUUAGAUGAUUACACAGCACAACAAAUUUCGGGUUUUGGUUUGUCCUUCGAACCAAACCAAUUUUUUUCGAUUCCUAGGUGCUAAAGAAGCCCGAAAAUGGGCAUACCAACUUCAGAACAAUUUGCUGGUCCUCAGGGCGCCGCCAUUUUGAAUUUUUCAAAAUUGAGAAAACCCACGAUUAGAUUUUUGCAAAUAGGUAUCUCCUCAACAGUUCAUCUUACGAAAAAAACAAAAAUCGAAAUCAUUCUCCUUUGUUUUUCUGACUCAAUUUUUUGGUCGUGAAAUUAACGUUUUCUUCAAAAAUUAGCUUAAAAAAGGCGCAUUUUUGCUGAUUUUAGAAGAAACUUUGCUUCAUAACCUCCAGCCACGAUAAUCUGAGAAAAAAACUGUUGUGCUCAUUGAAAAGAGCGUGAAAUUUACUUUUAGAAAACACAUGUCAAUAAUUCCUAAACUUGAUUUAUUCCUGUAAAACAGCAGAUUACUAGCUCCGCCUUUGAGAUUUUGCUUUUAUCUGUAUAAUAUAGAUGAGAAACCCUGACAUGAGCUCAUCCGUGUCCAUUAAUAAGAUAAUUAUGAAUUGAAUGUCAUUCAGGUAUCUUUUUACUUUAAUCUUGUACUAUUUGAUAUUUGAAUAAGAAUAUUUAUUUUUAUUUCUUUUUUGUGUGAUUUUUUGGACUUCUGUUCCUUUAUUGAUAGAUUCGGAAUCUACAACCAUCUAUAGACGGGUGUGGUUGAUAUUUUUAAACCUUGACGACUUAUGGAAUAACUUAAGAUUGGUAACCGGUAAGCACCCCUGCAGGCAAAGGUAAAAACUCUUGAUUGAAUUUCAUUUAUUUGCAUCAUGCGUCCUGCAGCUUGUGCUCGCAUCCUGAAUUUUAUAUUACGAGCAGGAUUUUUUCUCAACGUUUUGGGCCCUCCUCGGAGGCAAAAGAGUCAGGAAUACUGAUUCUGGGCGGCAACAUUUAGUAAUAUCCUUAAAAUAAAAUAAUAACUUAAUUUGGGAAAAGGCUGCAAAAAACAACAAAAAGGAUAAACCAAACCUGGAACGUUUCAAAAUAUUAACGAUUUCAUUUUCAACCGGAAAAAAUAAAAAUGAAAACGAGCCGUCGAUUCGCUGUUAUUGCUAGACCGACACUCCAUAUAAAAAAAAUAUCCAAUAUCCUUGAAAAGUCAAAGGAAAAAUGAGUCACGGAUGAAACAAAUUCACUUAAGUUUAUCGCACAUUUGAAAUUGAGUCCGAAGAAAACUUCCCACUCUGUGCCUCUAUGAAUAUCACUGCUGAGUCCUUUGAGCUAAUGAGAUUGUCCUUCCAUUCAAGGGUUGAAUCUCCCGAUAAUUUGAAUCGAUCAUAGCACCGUGAUUGUCUUUCAAGUGGCGGAACAGUCCCACCUACCAACAAAUAGAAAGUUUCGACGAAUUAUCAAAUUUAAUAACGAGAAGCAAGCGAGUGACUCAAAAUGGUUUCUAUACAUCGUGCAUUAUCGGAACACUGAAAAAAAAACUCCGGCCGUGGAAGGUGUACUUACGGGCUAUAUAGACAAUAGAUAUACCGUCCGCGUUCCGGACUCAGAGGCCGAAAGUUCCGGGCGUUGCACCCGGAGCAAUGGAAGCUAUGGCUCCAGCACCCGGAAGUUUCGGCCUCUGAGCCCGGAACGGACGGUCCGUCUAUAUAGCCCGUAACUUUUUUUUCAGUGAAGCAUCACUGAUAUUUUUCGUGGAGCAAAUUAAAAGGAAAUAAAUUUCGACUACUAUUACCAACGAGGCAGCGCGGUUGCGAAAAAUUGCGAUGUACAUAGCAAAAUUAAAAUCAUUGCUUCGAAAUGCUAUGAAUUUUGCGUAUCUCCGGAGUGAAGGGGCUCUUCUUAUUGGAACCAAUCGCAAUGAAAUUGGAGUGAGUUGUGAUUAUUUUUUGCACUGCAAAUUGCCUAUCCUGGAGCAUGGAGGUCUUCCGGUCAUAGUUUAAAAUGUCCACAUAUAGACCAAAUGGACGGAUUUGAUCCGAACAAUUUACAAAUUGCAAUCGUGGUUGCGUUUUGGACACACAAACACAACUAGCACAUUUUCAGGUUAGAAGAGCAGAGACAGAAGAGGGCGGCAUUUUAAUUGAAUGCACUGUUUUUAUCGGCUCUCUGGAGGAAUAAUGUCAUUUACUGCUGUAUUUUCAUGGAUUACGCCCUUUUCGUGUGCACUUACGGCUUUCUCAUAUGUCUCGUUUCCAUAAAAAUAAGAUACAUUUUGCUGCUUUAGCUGUUUCGGAGAUUUAUUUCAUAAGCACUGGAAAAAAAAACACAUUGGAUCUUGAGUCCAGACUCUUAAAAACAUCGACAAGAAAAAAUAAUCUUGAUUCAAUUAGAUUUAAACUUAAAUCAAGAACCAAGCCUCUUAAUUUAAGCGGAUUUCCUUUUGAUUUAAGCUUAAAUCUGAUCGAAUCAAGAGUCUUUUUUCUUGUCAAUGUUUUCAAGAGUCUGGACUCUAGAUCCAAUAUGUUUUUUUACCAGUGAGAGAUGAGACGAAUUUUGAAGGAAACUCGAUUUCGAAAAUUCGACACUUAUACUGCUCUCUUUGCUAUACGGAAGAAUGGUCCACUUACGUGAACAUAACUCUACCGUGCUAAGGAUAAACGCCGUAAGACCCUCCAGACGCUGCCUAAUGGACUUUGACGUAUUAUGAAUUUUCAGGGAAAUCUGCGAAUACUUUCCGUCGAUUUUUUCCAAAGAAUUGCAUUCACGAUUAGAUCUAAAUUAUCUGAAAAUUUUGAGUGAAAAUAUUUAAAAAGACAUUUUGUCGGAGGAAAUUUGGAAACUUUCGCAUGUUCAUACGGCGUUUUUCAUUAGCACGGCAGAACCAGGGCCGGAUUUUCCUACUUGCAGCCCAUGGGCCGCCUGUAUUUUGCCGCCCCCUUCUCAUUCAUUUUGAAACCUAUCUCUAAUGGACAAGGCCUUCCAUUCAUAAGAAAUGAACGAAAAAAUUAUGAACGAACAAACACAAAAUUUGGUAUAAUGAUUUUAACUUCCGCCGCCGCGCCGCGCCGACCGCACCGUGUUUGGCGCAAU
rnacentral:lncRNA from 1 species